ACCAUCGGCAGCUGGACUGACAUGAUGGACCGCCACGCUGCGGACUGAGACACAGCCCACACUCCUACGGGAGGCCGCACUGGCGAAUAUUGGACAAUGGGGGCAACCCUGAUCCAGCAAUGCCGCGUGUGUGAACAAAGCCUGAGGGUUGCACACCUAUUUCAGUGGGGAUGAGGAUUGGCAGGUUUGGAGCUGACCAAUUAAACGUUACCCACAUAAGAUGCACCGGCUAACACCGUACCAUCAUCCGCGGUAAUACGGAGGGUGCAGGCGUUAAACGGAAUUACUGGGCGUAAAGGGUGCGUAGGUUGUUCGACAAGUUAUCUGUGAAAGCCCAGGGCUCAACCUGGGAAGGCCAGAUAAGACUGGUUAACUAGAGUUUGGGAGAGGGUAUUGGAAUUUCCCGUGUAUGUGCUAAAUGCUUAAUAUAACGGAAAGAAC
rnacentral:rRNA from 1 species